CAGUAGCCGCGGUAAUACAUAGGUGGCAAGCGUUGUCCGGAAUUAUUGGGCGUAAAGGGCUCGCAGGCGGUUUCUUAAGUCUGAUGUGAAAGCCCCCGGCUCAACCGGGGAGGGUCAUUGGAAACUGGGAAACUUGAGUGCAGAAGAGGAGAGUGGAAUUCCACGUGUAGCGGUGAAAUGCGUAGAGAUGUGGAGGAACACCAGUGGCGAAGGCGACUCUCUGGUCUGUAACUGACGCUGAGGAGCGAAAGCGUGGGGAGCGAACAGGAUUAGAUACCCCUGUAGUCCCUGUCUCUUAUAC
rnacentral:rRNA from 1 species